GGGCGUGGUUCAAUGGUAGAACACUAGCCUUCCAAGCUGGAUACGAGGGUUCGAUUCCCUUCGCCC
rnacentral:tRNA from 1 species